CCACUUCCAGCCGGCGGCGAGCAUGCCUAUAUUGGUUUCGCCGGUUCGCCGGCUACGGCGAUAAACGGUUCGUGGCAUAAGCGUUGUGGACCCGGGGGCAGUGCCCGGCGCCUCCACCAUCUCAGACCCGCUCGAGUCUGAACAUGGGGGCGAAACAGGCUCGACACGCGUGGUAAAGACGGAUCUUUCGCCCGGCAUGGUUCCGCCGUUAUCGGGCCGAUUUACAAGUGCCAAUGACAACAAGGCGCUCGCUCUCGCUGCAUAAGCGAUAAGCGCGGUUCGGGGGGCACCGGGCAACAGAAGCCCCCCACU
rnacentral:tmRNA from 1 species